rnacentral:rRNA from 1 species
AACAAACGCUGGCGGCAUGCCUAACACAUGCAAGUCGAACGAGAUCUUCGGGUCUAGUGGCGCACGGGUGCGUAACGCGUGGGAAUCUGCCCUUUGGUUCGGAAUAACAGUUGGAAACGACUGCUAAUACCGGAUGAUGACGAAAGUCCAAAGAUUUAUCGCCAGAGGAUGAGCCCGCGUAGGAUUAGCUAGUUGGUGUGGUAAAGGCGCACCAAGGCGACGAUCCUUAGCUGGUCUGAGAGGAUGAUCAGCCACACUGGGACUGAGACACGGCCCAGACUCCUACGGGAGGCAGCAGUGGGGAAUAUUGGACAAUGGGCGAAAGCCUAAUCCAGCAAUGCCGCGUGAGUGAUGAAGGCCUUAGGGUUGUAAAGCUCUUUUACCCGGGAUGAUAACGACAGUACCGGGAGAAUAAGCUCCGGCUAACUCCGUGCCAGCCGCCGCCGUAA